ACACCACCACCACGCGCAGGUUUGCGUUGGGGAUUGAUUCCUACCAGUGAAAUCUGGAAGGGAGCCGACCUACAGGGAGAGAGUUGGGAGAGCUAAUGAGUUGUUGAAGCCAGAUGAAAUUAUAGUGCAAAUUGACUCGAGGUCAAUUGCUGUGUCACCACUUCCUCACAACGUAAAGCUGGAAGAUGUUCAAUCUUUCUUUGGUCAGUAUGGCAAGGCUAACAUCGUAAGGCUUCCAAAACAUGUUUCUAACAAGGGGCAGUUCUCCGGCACAGCUUUGGUCGAAUUUUCGGAAGAAGUUGAAGCUAACAAUAUCAUGAAUAACAAACUUAGUUUUGCAGGAGCGGAUCUAGAAAUAAAAACAAAGAAGGAAUUUGAUGCUGAAAUGGAGGCUAAGAAAGAAGCUUAUGAGAAGUCGCACCCUAAUACACACCCUAAUAAGAAUGGUCAUGAUGAAGGAUACCCAAAAGGUCUGAUUCUGCCUUUAAGCUGAAGAAAAUUCUAGCUUAUGGUGACACAGAACAAAAUGGUGGGGACAAAGUUGAUAAUAGCGACAAUGCCAAGAAGGAAGGGGGUGGAAUCGGGGAAAGCUUGUGAAGAGAAGGCCCCUGAGAACACUGAUGCCAAGGAAGAGAAGUCAGAUGAUGCUGAGGAGUUGAAAGUGUCAGAUGCACAAGGGAGCGGGCUGCUCUCGGUGCUCGACUGGGAGCUCACCGACGAGGAGGAGUACCGCCACGCGCGCCCAGGUGCAGCGCAAGCGCGUGGAGGCGAAGGGGUACGCCGUCGAGGGGAUCUCGGUGAGCGGGCACGAGACCUGCAUCACCGUGUCGUCCCUCAACGUCGCAUUUGACAUCGGCCGCGGCCCGCUCUUCGCCAUGCGCUAGGACCACCUCUUCAUCAUGCACGCCACCUCAACCACAUCGUCCUUCUGUCAGUGUCUUCAAUUGCUUUGCUGAAUAGUGGGUGGUAGCGGCUUGAGUGAAGAUCUUCGUAUCAAGGUUUGUUUACUACCGCGGAUUGCUUAUAUCACCUUGUUCUGUAAUUGUCUGUUACUUGCUGUACACAUACUGACUAGGUGUUGUGUCUGUGUUGCUGUUUUCCAUUUGCCUUUGCUGGUUAACUUACUUUUCAAGGACUAUUUCUUCUGCUCAGGAUGUGCCCUACUAUAUCUUUUGUGAUUCCUAUUUUGGAGACCCUGGCGGCGCAUGUUCCUUUGCCUGCUCUUUUGUACGUGUGUGAGAUAGCCGACGACGGGGCUGUGCUUGCUGGUGUUGAGCUUGAGCUUCCUACGAAUAGUGUGUCCCUGCUUCCAGAUAGGACUUUGCUAAAAUUCCUGCAGGGGGGCUAUGGGUUUGUUAUCAGGGACUACGGUAGGGGUGCAGAGCGGCGUCCCGCAUAGACCCACCAAAGUGCUUAAUUAGUACAACUUUGCCUAACAGCAGCACAGCCUAAUUAGAACUAGCUUUUUCUAAUUUGUAUACGGAGCGGGACGGGUUCGGGCGCCGCCUUGCAUCCCUAGACUACGGGUUUCAAAGUGUUGGUUCAUACCAUUCAGGAGCAGUGCUGGUGCUAAGAACGCUGGCAAUGCAAAGAAAACAAGGCAGUAAUUCAUCUAUCGCCUAAGAUGACCAUGGAUGUACGGUAAGCCACAUUUUUCUUCCAUGCAUUCAGCUCAGUCUCUGCUUCCAUGGAAUUCAUGCUUUUCAAUUAAAUUAUCAGGGUGAUAAUGUAAACAGUCCAGCUGCUAUUGGCGCAACCAGGUCAUCUAGUAGGUAGAAUAGAUCAAAUCCCACGUACGCACCCCCGCACAUGAGCUCAUCCCAAUCCCACCACCGAUCCGCUUAUCCUGUCUGCCGUCACGCGGCCUUUCCCAUCCCCACAUCGACCCCUUGGUGAUGCCGUGACCACGCAAUUGCUACUCUUCGCCGCUCCAUCUCCCCGGGUAACAUCACACCGCCUACCCCAUCCUCCGCACCCAGGACAGAAGCACGCAAUCUCGACCGAUCCCCCGUUCUUCUCCGGCGGAGGCAGCAACGCGCAGCCGCGCUUCAGGCGACGUUGCGCCUCUCUCUGUCCAUCUCCAGCACGGCCACUCCGCUGCACUCAUCUCGGGCCGAGGAGAGCGAGCACAGUUGCAAUUGGAGUUGUGUCAGCGAUGUGCCUUUGCCCUCUCUAGGUUUUUCGUCGAGGAAGUCAUAUCAUGAAGUCGGGAAGAUCUCAUCCUUCCUUGCUUCCGCCCUACGCGGCAUCAUGCUGCAUGUCUGUCGUGUGCAGGUACAACUCCUCGGCAUGCAACCUGUUGAACAGUAUGUUUACCAUGCCUUUGGUAGAAGAUAGACUGUACUAUCGUCUUCAUUUGUCCCUCACUUGACAGAAGCUGACAUUUUUUCCAGCUCGUGCACUGAGAGAGGCUUUUGACUUAGCAAUUUUCUAGGUCUAUACAUGUAUAUUGCUUCGAGAGAUCUUGCAAAUGUGGAAGCUAAAACGAGGUAAACUAGAUUAUGUUCAUCCAGCAGAAGGGAUGCUCUUCAGUGGAAAAUUCUGAAACCUUGUCAAGCUUUGAUGUAUAGCUGGCAUAGUUUGUUAGUAAUCUCUAUGAACAUUGUACAAAUGGUGACAAAAAAGUUUUUUUAUAACCGUGGAAUCACGACGCAGAAUAUAUUAUUCACGUGUAUACCUUCAAUGUGGAUUAUAACAUGAUGUACCUUGUCAGGAACAUUUCUUCUCGAAGACUACUUUAUUUUCAUAUUCAUGCACACACUUCUCUGGGAUAUUGAAAUAUUUGCUUGUACCGUCUUUUUCUGGAGUCAUUGAAAUAUCCCCUUGCAUGGAAAUUUGAUUUCUACUGAAUUUUUGUCAAGAUAUUAGACUUCUUGUACUAAAGUUCACCAUGUUACUGUUGUACUACAAUUUUUCUUAUUGUACUGAAAUUUUGCAUUGUUAUACUAAAAUUUGCCUUUUUUUUACUCUGGUACUAACAUUUAACUAUUUUGUAGGAAGGAAUAGCUCAAGGGAGCAGAAGGAACAAGGAGAAACACUCAAGAGAAGUUAACUCAAAAUCCAAGAUUCGAUCUUCACAUAGCUCACAAAUCUUGAUUCAUGAUGGCAUUGGACCAGACACAUCCAGUUCUAUAAUAUCUAUAUAAGUAGAGUGUAUUUGAUUCCUAUGUUGUUCCUCUUUAGCUUGUUCGUUGGACUGGCUUGGUUUAAAUUAUAUAUGAUAUAAUUUAGUUUUAAUUUUA